rnacentral:misc_RNA from 1 species
GCAGAUGUGAAUCUUAAAGAAUCUGUAAAGACAAAAUGGCAUGAUCAAUCUCCAUAUUACAUUAGUAACAAGAAGUUCUAUUACAACUAAAUUGCUGGAAAGUAUAUGAAUUCCAGGUAACAUGCCAAAGAAAAUUAUUAAAAAUGGGAAGUUACUACUAAAGGGGGUCUAGAACUCAAUUACGUAUACGAGAAGCAGCAUAUAGAAUCAUUGCUUUUAGCAUCCAAAACUGUCAUCAUAUAAUUAACUCGUACAUAAGACCAAGCAAGAAAGUAACACAUCAACCCUUUCCAAUUAAGACAAUACGAACCAAUUCGCUUAAAGCAAGCAAGUG